rnacentral:lncRNA from 1 species
UGAGAUUUACUUUACAUCUUACAACGGGACCAAUGCAUAAAACAUAAAUCUCACUCUUUUUUUCUUCUCCUUUUCAAGUCUUAAGCUGGACCAAUGCGUUCUCAUUCUCAAUUUUAACAACAUCAUCCCUAACAAUUUAGCAACCCACUUGUCAGGAAGCAAAAUUUGUAUCCUGCUUCCUUAUGUCAAAUAGUUAAUUAUCAGAUAGUGAACUAUAAACUAGUAACCUGCAAGUCAUUGAUCUAACAGUUUCUGAUCUCGAAUAAUCACUUAUAAGUUAUAAAUUCCAUGUCUGUAUAUAUUGGGAUGGGAUGCAAAUAGAUCAAUUAUGGGCAUGGAGUUGCAUCGUUGUUCUUUUGGCCUAAAAAAUGUGCAAUUGUUCAAGAGAUAACUUCCGAAUGACACUUUUGAUGCUUUUAAAGAAGAUUGUUUGUCCCGUGAGCAUAGCUCAGUUAGUAGGACAAUGCAUUAUUAUAUGCAGGGGUCGGGGUUCGAAUCCCGGACACCCCACUUAUUCACCUUAUAAGGUAAAUUCUAGCCACUAGACUACCUAACAAAAAAAAGGACACAAUAUUGCACAUAUCAACCCCUUGAGCCAAUGUGGUUUGGAUAAGAGGAACUAACUUAACUGCUCAAAUAAAUAAAUAUUUUACUGCAAACAGGAUUAGAGUAAAAAAGUGAGAAAAUAAAGCACAUGACAUCAAUUGCAACUUUUUUUUGAAAAAAAGAAUAUGGAGAAUGUUAACCGGUGCCUCUGGGGCAUUGGUUAAACAGCCAGAAGUAAUAAGAUUUUAUUAAAGAGUGGAGUAAUAAUUAGUUGAUCAAAAGUAAAAGUUUAUAUUUGUAAGACAGUUUUUCUACUUUUGAAUUCCUUAAUCAAUGCUCCGAGGACACCGAUUAACAAGAUCCAAAGAAUAUGACAAUCAGACAAAUCACUAUGCACCUUAAUCAUGAGGGGAGGAAGAAUAGCUGUCAGAUGUCUUCCAUGAUCUUUUUUUUUUUUCUUUCAGCAAAUGAAUCUUCUUUUGAUGCCAACUCAACUGAAAUCCACAAAUAAUACCAGCAACAAUAUUGAAAUCAAAUCAAUAUACUAUAAAUUAAAAUGCAUACACGUUAUAAUGUUCAAUUGAUCAAUCAUAGAGAUAAAAUUUGAAUUGUACCAAAAAAAUAAAAAAGUGAUAAAAUGUGAAAGCCAUAGUACAAAUAC